UGUAGCAAUACAAGGCAGACGGCUCAGUAACGCGUAGUCAACCUACCCUAUGGACGGGGAUAACCUCGGGAAACUGAGAAUAAUACCCGAUAGAACAUUAUACCUGGAAUGGUUUAUGUUUCAAAUAAUUUAUUGCCGUAGGAUGGGACUGCGGCCUAUCAGUUUGUUGGUGAGGUAAUGGCCCACCAAGACUAUUACAGGUACGGGCUCUGAGAGGAGUAGCCCGGAGAUGGGUACUGAGACACGGACCCAGGCCCUAUGGGGCGCAGCAGGCGAGAAAACUUUGCAAUGUGCGAAAGCACGACAAGGUUAAUCCGAGUGGUUUCUGCUAAAGGAACCUUUUGUCAGUCCUAGAAACACUGGUGAAUAAGGGGUGGGCAAGUUCUGGUGUCAGCCGCCGCGGUAAAACCAGCACCUCAAGUGGUCAGGAUGAUUAUUGGGCCUAAAGCAUCCGUAGCCUGCUUUGUUAGUUUUCGGUUAAAUCCAUACGCUUAACGUAUGGGCUGCCGGGAAUACUGCAAAGCUAGGGAGUGGGAGAGGUAGACGGUACUCGGUAGGAAGGGGUAAAAUCCUUUGAUCUAUUGAUGACCUCCUGUGGCGAAGGCGGUCUACCAGAACACGUCCGACGGUGAGGGAUGAAAGCUGGGGGAGCAAACCGGAUUAGAUACCCGGGUAGUCCCAGCUGUAAACUAUGCAAACUCGGUGAUGCAUUGGCUUGAUGCCGAUGCAGUGCCGCAGGGAAGCCGUUAAGUUUGCCGCCUGGGAAGUACGUACGCAAGUAUGAAACUUAAAGGAAUUGGCGGGGGAGCACCACAAGGGGUGAAGCCUGCGGUUCAAUUGGA
rnacentral:rRNA from 1 species